UACGUAGGGUGCAAGCGUUGUCCGGAAUUUAUUGGGUCGUAAAGAGCUCGUUAGGCGGUUUGUCGCGUCGGGCUGUGAAAACUCGGGGCUCAACCCCGAGCCUGCAGUCGAUACGGGCAAACUAGAGUGUGGUAGGGGAGACUGGAAUUCCUGGUGUAGCGGUGAAAUGCGCAGAUAUCAGGAGGAACACCGGCGGCGAAG
rnacentral:rRNA from 1 species